UAAGCAUAUCAAUAAGCGGAGGAAAAGAAACCAACAGGGAUUGCCUCAGUAACGGCGAGUGAAGCGGCAACAGCUCAAAUUUGAAAUCUGGCUCUUUCAGGGUCCGAGUUGUAAUUUGUAGAGGAUGUUUCGGGUGUGGCUCCGGUCUAAGUUCCUUGGAACAGGACGUCAUAGAGGGUGAGAAUCCCGUAUGUGACUGGUAGCCUAUGCUCAUGUGAAACUCCUUCGACGAGUCGAGUUGUUUGGGAAUGCAGCUCAAAAUGGGUGGUAAAUUUCAUCUAAAGCUAAAUAUUGGCCAGAGACCGAUAGCGCACAAGUAGAGUGAUCGAAAGAUGAAAAGCACUUUGGAAAGAGAGUUAAACAGUACGUGAAAUUGUUGAAAGGGAAGCGCUUGCAACCAGACUUGCAUGUAGCUGAUCAACCGGUGUUCUCACCGGUGCACUCAGUUGCGUUCAGGCCAGCAUCGGUUUCGACGGUUGGAUAAAGGCCUUGGGAAUGUAGCUUCUUUCGGGGAGUGUUAUAGCCCAGGGUGCAAUGCAGCCUGUCGGGACCGAGGACCGCGCUUCGGCUAGGAUGCUGGCGUAAUGGUUGUAAGCGACCCGUCUUGAAACACGGACCAAGGAGUCUAACAUCUAUGCGAGUGUUUGGGUGUCAAACCCAUACGCGUAAUGAAAGUGAACGGAGGUGAGAACCCUUAAGGGUGCAUCAUCGACCGAUCCUGAUGUCUUCGGAUGGAUUUGAGUAAGAGCAUAGCUGUUGGGACCCGAAAGAUGGUGAACUAUGCCUGAAUAGGGUGAAGCCAGAGGAAACUCUGGUGGAGGCUCGCAGCGGUUCUGACGUGCAAAUCGAUCGUCAAAUUUGGGUAUAGGGGCGAAAGACUAAUCGAACCAUCUAGUAGCUGGUUCCUGCCGAAGUUUCCCUCAGGAA
rnacentral:rRNA from 1 species